GCAGUGGUAGCUCAGUGGUUAGGCAUUGGGCCACUGAGCAGAUGGUCAUGAGUUCAAAUUCCAGCCAACUGCC